rfam:Triticum aestivum genome assembly, contig: Triticum_aestivum_CS42_TGACv1_scaffold_644759_T_3DS-0.085640_1BL-0.060126
CAACUACUCCCUCCGUUCCAAAAUAGUUGACUUCCAUUUGUCCAAAAAUGGAUGUACCUAUAUACUAAAACAUGUCUAGAUACAUCUAUAUUUUGGAAAAUGGAAGGCAUGUAUUAUGGAACAGAGGGAGUAGUAC